CCUCCCAAAGGCCCCACCUCCUAACACCAUCACAGUGCAGGGUAGAAUGUCAACAUUGGAAUUUUAGGGAGACACAAAUAUUCAGUCCAUAACAGAUGGCCAUGUCUUACUCCCCCAGAUCUGUGGAUGUGACCUCACAUGCCAAAAGGACCUUUGCAGAUGUGGUGAAGAUACGGACCUUGAGAGGGAUGGUUAUCCUGGAUUACCAGGGCGGGCACAAUGGUCCCUGUUAGAGGAAAGCAGGAGGUCACAGGGAAUAGAAGAUGCUAUUCUGUGGUUUUGAAAAUGGAGGAAAGGGGUGAGCCACAAGCCAAGGAAUGUGAGCACCCUUGGAGCCUUCCAAAGGAACAAUUCCUACUGAUGCCUUGAUUUUAGCCCCAGGGAACUCAUUCCUGACUUCAAGAUACAGAAUGCAAACACAGAAGACUACACUUCCCGUUGCCCCUGCAGUUUGGUGGGGUCAUAUGACUAAUUCUGGCCAAUGAAAUAGGGCACAGGUGACACCUCCCUUUAGCCCGAGGCUUCACCCUCUGCCUUUUCUCUUCCCCUGCCACAGCCACUGAGGACAUUCUAGCUGCUCAGGAUGCAAAAUGAUGGAGCUGCUGGCAGCCUGAAUCCCCAAGUGACUGUGUGGAGCAGAGCCUCCACCUGACUACCAAAAACUACCAGGAUCUGGUGUUACUUGUUACAGCAACGUAACCCAGGCUCUCCUGAUGAUGAGUACUCUGAUGAGGCUCUUGCUUCACAGAGGAGGUGACAAUUAAGCCUUGAGGAGACACACAUGUGCAUGUGUGGUUGCGACCUCUGUGGGCACGGGUCUGUAUGAGCACACAUCUUUGUGCAACUCAGGUUGUGUGUGCGUUUGUGUGUGUAUCUAUGGGUUAUCUCUGGGUCUAGCUCUAGUUCUGUGGGGUCUGGCACAAACUAAGGUGUCAGUAUGUGAGUGGGUGUCUGGUGUUGAGGGGUCAGAUACAGUGAGCACAGUACAAGCGAAUAUGAGGGGAGGAUGUGAUGACAGUGAAUAGAUGCUUUCAAAAUCAUCAGGAAGAAAAAGACGUGGGACACACUGGUAGCUCCAGAGGUGAGUCCUGAGUCCUGCGCCCCUGGGGGCCAGCUUUAGAGCCACGCCAUGAUUUAUUAAUCUGUAGUUGCUGUGGGAGCGUGGCUCUUUCUGGAGGGGCAAGCAUGAACCACGUCAGUCCCACCACGGGUCGGGUUGGCACGAUGUGUUCAUUGCCCACAUGACUCACUGUUUUGUUACCUGAAAUACAUCUAAUUCCUAUUAAUAACGAGCACUGUAGGGCAUACAUUUCAUCAUUAGCAUUAAAUGACUUUAUUGCAGGAUACAAAGGAGCUGCCUGUGAUGUAUGAUGCAACUGCUGGAGCGAGGGCCUUUGGAGAGAGGGCGUGUGUGCACACGAACACGCACACACAUGAGCUCUCUUAUGUCCUGGUCAUUGUGCAAUGAGGGUGUGUAUCACAGGCAGACAACUUUUCUUGCACACUUCAGCACCUCCUGAAGCGAAUAUUUUGUUUGCUCGGCUUACCAAUGGGGUGCCGGGAAGGCCACUGUGCCCCUAGUUGGUGUGGUACCCUAGGCCCAAGACAGGAACUUGUUUUCCUGAGAGUCUGUGCAGGCCAAGUGCAGGGCUAAAGGCCUUCAAAACUCUUACCUGAAAGAAACCCAGGACCUAUCUGUGGGUAGCAGUUGCAAGCCUCAUUUUACGUAUGAGGAAACUGAGACUCCCAGAGCCCAGAGGACCUGCCUAAGGUGUGCGGUGGAGCAACUGCUUAAAUCCUGCCAGGCCUGGCCCUCUAUGCUCUUCCACGUGAACUUGAACCUUUGUUAGGUGCUCUGCCC
rnacentral:lncRNA from 1 species